rnacentral:rRNA from 1 species
UACGUAGGGUCCGAGCGUUGUCCGGAAUUAUUGGGCGUAAAGGGCUCGUAGGCGGUUUGUUGCGUCGGGAGUGAAAUCCACAGGCUUAACUUGUGGCUUGCUUUCGAUACGGGCAGACUGGAGGUAUGCAGGGGAGAACGGAAUUCCUGGUGUAGCGGUGAAAUGCGCAGAUAUCAGGAGGAACACCGGUGGCGAAGGCGGUUCUCUGGGCAUUACCUGACGCUGAGGAGCGAAAGUGUGGGGAGCGAACAGG